rnacentral:rRNA from 1 species
UGAUGGCGCUGUUAUUGGGCCUAAAGCGUCCGUAGCUGGCCGCGUAAGUCCGUCGGGAAAUCCGCCCGCUCAACGGGCGGCCGUCCGGCGGAAACUGCUCGGCUUGGGACCGGGAGGCCUGAGGGGUACGAUCGGGGUACGAGUGAAAUCCUGUAAUCCCGCUCGGACCGCCGAUGGGGAAACCACCUCAGGAACACGGAUCCGACAGUGAGGGACGAAAGCCAGGGUCUCGAACC